rnacentral:rRNA from 1 species
UACAGAGGUCUCAAGCGUUGUUCGGAUUCAUUGGGCGUAAAGGGUGCGUAGGCGGCGCGGUAAGUCGGGUGUGAAAUCUUGGAGCUUAACUCCGAAACUGCAUUCGAUACUGCCGUGCUUGAGGACUGGAGAGGAGGCUGGAAUUUACGGUGUAGCAGUGAAAUGCGUAGAUAUCGUAAGGAAGGCCGGUGGCGAAAGCGAGCCUCUGGACAGUUACUGACGCUGAUGCACGAAGGCCAGGGGAGCAAACGGG